UUAAGCGACUAAGCGUACACGGUGGAUGCCCUGGCAGUCAGAGGCGAUGAAGGACGUGCUAAUCUGCGAAAAGCGCCGGCGAGGUGAUAUGAACCUUUGACCCGGCGAUGUCCGAAUGGGGAAACCCAGUGUGUUCCGACACACUAUCGUUAACUGAAUACAUAGGUUAACGAGGCGAACCGGGGGAACUGAAACAUCUAAGUACCCCGAGGAAAAGAAAUCAACCGAGAUUCCCCCAGUAGCGGCGAGCGAACGGGGAGCAGCCCGGAGUCUGAAUCAGCUUGUGUGUUAGUGGAACGGUCUGGAAAGUCCGACGGUACAGGGUGAUAGUCCCGUACACGAAAACACACUUGCUGUGAACUCGAAGAGUAGGGCGGGACACGUGGUAUCCUGUCUGAAUAUGGGGGGACCAUCCUCCAAGGCUAAAUACUCCUGACUGACCGAUAGUGAACCAGUACCGUGAGGGAAAGGCGAAAAGAACCCCGGCGAGGGGAGUGAAAAAGAACCUGAAACCGUGUACGUACAAGCAGUGGGAGCACCUUCGUGGUGUGACUGCGUACCUUUUGUAUAAUGGGUCAGCGACUUAUAUUCUGUAGCAAGGUUAACCGUAUAGGGGAGCCGAAGGGAAACCGAGUCUUAACUGGGCGUUAAGUUGCAGGGUAUAGACCCGAAACCCGGUGAUCUAGCCAUGGGCAGGUUGAAGGUUGGGUAACACUAACUGGAGGACCGAACCGACUAAUGUUGAAAAAUUAGCGGAUGACCUGUGGCUGGGGGUGAAAGGCCAAUCAAACCGGGAGAUAGCUGGUUCUCCCCGAAAGCUAUUUAGGUAGCGCCUCGUGAACUCAUCUUCGGGGGUAGAGCACUGUUUCGGCUAGGGGGCCAUCCCGGCUUACCAACCCGAUGCAAACUACGAAUACCGAAGAAUGUUAUCACGGGAGACACACGGCGGGUGCUAACGUCCGUCGUGAAGAGGGAAACAACCCAGACCGCCAGCUAAGGUCCCAAAGUCAUGGUUAAGUGGGAAACGAUGUGGGAAGGCACAGACAGCCAGGAUGUUGGCUUAGAAGCAGCCAUCAUUUAAAGAAAGCGUAAUAGCUCACUGGUCGAGUCGGCCUGCGCGGAAGAUGUAACGGGGCUAAACCAUGCACCGAAGCUGCGGCAGCGACGCUUAUGCGUUGUUGGGUAGGGGAGCGUUCUGUAAGCCGUUGAAGGUGUGCUGUGAGGCAUGCUGGAGGUAUCAGAAGUGCGAAUGCUGACAUAAGUAACGAUAAAGCGGGUGAAAAGCCCGCUCGCCGGAAGACCAAGGGUUCCUGUCCAACGUUAAUCGGGGCAGGGUGAGUCGACCCCUAAGGCGAGGCCGAAAGGCGUAGUCGAUGGGAAACAGGUUAAUAUUCCUGUACUUGGUGUUACUGCGAAGGGGGGACGGAGAAGGCUAUGUCAGCCGGGCGACGGUUGUCCCGGUUUAAGCAUGUAGGCGGAGGUUCCAGGUAAAUCCGGUACCUUUUAACGCUGAGGUGUGAUGACGAGGCACUACGGUGCUGAAGUGAUAAAUGCCCUGCUUCCAGGAAAAGCCUCUAAGCAUCAGGUAACACGAAAUCGUACCCCAAACCGACACAGGUGGUCAGGUAGAGAAUACCAAGGCGCUUGAGAGAACUCGGGUGAAGGAACUAGGCAAAAUGGUGCCGUAACUUCGGGAGAAGGCACGCUGAUAGGUAGGUGAAGCCCCUGCGGGCGGAGCUGAAAUCAGUCGAAGAUACCAGCUGGCUGCAACUGUUUAUUAAAAACACAGCACUGUGCAAACACGAAAGUGGACGUAUACGGUGUGACGCCUGCCCGGUGCCGGAAGGUUAAUUGAUGGGGUUAGCGGCAACGCGAAGCUCUUGAUCGAAGCCCCGGUAAACGGCGGCCGUAACUAUAACGGUCCUAAGGUAGCGAAAUUCCUUGUCGGGUAAGUUCCGACCUGCACGAAUGGCGUAAUGAUGGCCAGGCUGUCUCCACCCGAGACUCAGUGAAAUUGAACUCGCUGUGAAGAUGCAGUGUACCCGCGGCAAGACGGAAAGACCCCGUGAACCUUUACUAUAGCUUGACACUGAACACUGGUCCUUGAUGUGUAGGAUAGGUGGGAGGCUUUGAAGCGUGGACGCCAGUCUGCGUGGAGCCAUCCUUGAAAUACCACCCUUUAAUGGCUGGUGUUCUAACGUAGACCCGUGAUCCGGGUUGCGGACAGUGUCUGGUGGGUAGUUUGACUGGGGCGGUCUCCUCCCAAAGAGUAACGGAGGAGCACGAAGGUUGGCUAAUCCUGGUCGGACAUCAGGAGGUUAGUGCAAUGGCAUAAGCCAGCUUGACUGCGAGCGUGACGGCGCGAGCAGGUGCGAAAGCAGGUCAUAGUGAUCCGGUGGUUCUGAAUGGAAGGGCCAUCGCUCAACGGAUAAAAGGUACUCCGGGGAUAACAGGCUGAUACCGCCCAAGAGUUCAUAUCGACGGCGGUGUUUGGCACCUCGAUGUCGGCUCAUCACAUCCUGGGGCUGAAGUAGGUCCCAAGGGUAUGGCUGUUCGCCAUUUAAAGUGGUACGCGAGCUGGGUUUAGAACGUCGUGAGACAGUUCGGUCCCUAUCUGCCGUGGGCGCUGGAGAAUUGAGGGGGGCUGCUCCUAGUACGAGAGGACCGGAGUGGACGCAUCACUGGUGUUCGGGUUGUCAUGCCAAUGGCACUGCCCGGUAGCUAAAUGCGGAAGAGAUAAGUGCUGAAAGCAUCUAAGCACGAAACUUGCCCCGAGAUGAGUUCUCCCUGAGACUUUAAGUCUCCUGAAGGAACGUUGAAGACGACGACGUUGAUAGGUCGGGUGUGUAAGCGCAGCGAUGCGUUGAGCUAACCGAUACUAAUGAACCGUGAGGCUUAACCUU
rnacentral:rRNA from 2 species